ACCGGCAAACGGGUGCGGAACACGUACACAACCUUCCUUAAGGUGGGGGAUAGCCCAGAGAAGUUUGGAUUAAUACCUCAUAGAAUAUUGGAGCUGCAUGGCUUUGAUAUUAAAGAUUUAUCGCCAUAAGAUGGGUGUGCGUAUGAUUAGGUAGUUGGUUGAGGUAACGGCUCACCAAGCCUUCGAUCAUUAACUGGUGUGAGAGCACGACCAGUCACACGGGCACUGAGACACGGGCCCGACUCCUACGGGAGGCAGCAGUAAGGAAUAUUGGUCAAUGGACGCAAGUCUGAACCAGCCAUGCCGCGUGAAGGAUGACUGCCCUCUGGGUUGUAAACUUCUUUUAUCUGGGACGAAAAAGGGCCAUUCUUGGGCAACUGACGGUACCAGAGGAAUAAGCACCGGCUAACUCCGUGCCAGCAGCCGCGGUAAUACGGAGGGUGCAAGCGUUAUCCGGAUUUACUGGGUUUAAAGGGAGCGCAGGCGGAUUAGUAAGUCAGUGGUGAAAGCCUUGAGCUUAACUCGAGAACUGCCAUUGAUACUAUUAGUCUUGAAUGUUGUUGAGGUUUGCGGAAUGGGUCAUGUAGCGGUGAAAUGCAUAGAUAUGACCCGGAACACCUAUUGCGAAGGCAGCAGGCUAAACAAAUAUUGACGCUGAGGCUCGAAAGCGUGGGGAUCAAACAGGAUUAGAUACCCUGUAGUCCACGCCCU
rnacentral:rRNA from 1 species